AUCUGCGGACACAGGGCACGCGCGCGUGGGAGGGGGCCGCGUGGCCGAGGCCGGAGGGCCGCGGAGGCCGCGCGGAGCGGGGUCCGGGCCGCAGCCGGGGAGCACAGGCGAGGGCGGCUGGCUCGGAGUCACAGAUCCUUGGAAUCUCGGGGGCUACGGGCAGAUGAAGUGUUGAGAACACUGACUGGGGGGCGAGGCGACAGAGCCAAGCGGCCAGUCCGGAAAGCCCACUGUCCCUGGAGUCAGGGGAGGCAGUGGACGAGGCCCAGGAAGCCCAGGAGGCUGAUCUUGUUCCCCGGGUGAGUGAAGUUGGACCAAGCGGUGUCAAUGCUGCUGGAGGCACAGCACUCAGCUUGGCUGACGUCGGUCUUCAGCACCAGGCUGCACGUGGCCUCUCGACCCUGCUGCAGCCAGCACACGCCACCUGUGCACCGCAGGGCCGUCACUGCCACACCAGGGGUGCCCUCCUGCACCACUCCCAACACCCAGCUCCCGGCCCUAGGGGCUGCAUACAGUUGGUGCUCAGUAACUGCAGAGGGAUGAUUGGCUCCCAAGCUGGGAAGGAGGGCCAGAGAGCUGCAGGGGUGCUCCCAUGCCAGCUCAGCUCUGGGUCCUUCUGGGAUUCCCUGUCUUCUCGGAGCUCCACCCCCCACACAACCCCAACUCUUCCCACCUUUUGUCGCUCCAGGCCCCCAGACCCAGGCCUGGCAUCCUGCCCAACCAGCCAAACGCCCAGAGCUGGACGUGUCAGGGUCAGUGGGCCCUGCAGCCGCCUCUCCGCCUCUGCCCUCUGUCUAGACAGCACCCGAGGGCACGCAGAGCCCCCCUCGCCUGGCAGCCCCCCCUUGCCUGGCCCGCCUCUUACUCACUCCAACUUGGGAACAUUCCCCUUGCAUGAGCUCACCAUCUCCCUGGGGACACGGCCUUCGGGGAGGGGGCUCAGCUCUCCCCUUCGAGCGGGGCUGGGGUGGGGCUGCUGGCUGGGGUGGACAGGCAGAGAGCCCUCAGUUUCUGCACUGUAAACGGGGGCAGGAGAGGCCACAGCCCCCAGCCCAGAGAGCUCACUGGUUCCCAGGCGCUGCGCUGAGCGCCCUACACGGACCCGCUCUGGGAGCUCAUCACCUUGGCACUCAUCUUACAAAACGAGAAACUGAGGCCAGGACUGGGGCUGUUCCUUGCCCAGCAUCCCCCAACAAGUGGCUGCUAUGGGACUCCAACAGCCCAACCUGGGGAAGAUAUGAGACCUCAGGUGGAAGUCCUGGGUCCAGCCACCCAGCCCCACCUCUCCGGGUGUUCAGGACUCAAGCGGUUCAGGUUCAAGUCCUGAGUUUGCCACUUUUAAGCUGGGUGACCCUGCACCUCAGUUUCCCCAUCUGGGAAAUGGGCAUAAUGAGCUACACGCACAGUUGGGCUAUCGUAUGCAUUCUCGGACGGUUAGACUCAGCACCCAAUAAAUGUCAGCAGUCAUUGGGACUACUCCUCUUGGCCAUUGUGAAAGAGCCACAUCUGCUGACCUCGUGGUGACCCUUCUUCAGGCCCUUUGGGGCUGGGGGAGGGGAGCCCCAAGCCCUCCCAGACUGAACCUGAGGAGGCCUCCCAUCACCGGCUGCCACUAACGCCGCGCCCCCCGCCCCCCCCCCCCGACAUCUCCCCCAAGGCCCGCAUUCCGGGGCAGGCCCACGUGGGUGGCCCACCCCGCCCGCCCCUUCCGGCCGCCCCACUCACCGGGCGCGGGGUCCCCCGAGCCCACGGAGCCCACGAAGCCCACGGCCCAAGCCAGGGCCCCCCAGGGCAGUGGCCACAGUGGCCCCGGCGUCCCGGGACGCAUGGCGGACGCAGAGACGGCGGCGGCCCCCGCGUCGGACGCGCGGGCGGGCGGCUGGGAGGGCGGCGGCACCGACUUCCCAGCGCGCGGCGGCCGGGCGCUCCCUAUAAAGGUCCUGUGCUCCUUGUAUCGGGAGCCCUCGGCCUCCGGGACUCCCAGCCUUUCCACAAUUUGUGACAGUGACGCCAGACAUCAGCAUGGUCCCGGAAGGAACUGAAUGCACUGGGGGUCAGACAGAGAUCACAAGGAGGCAGAGAGAGAGAGGGGGAAGCAGGCUCCCAGCUGAGCAGAGAACCUGAUAUGGGGCUCGAUCCCAGGACCCUGGGAUCAUGACCCGAGCCGAAGGCAGAGGCUUUAACCCGCUGAGCCACCCAGGCGCCCCCAAGCCUGCGGUUUGUAAGGGCCGGAAAAACAAAAUACAUAGACGAACAAGUUAAUAGAUAACUUUGAAGAGUGGCAGUGCUUUCAGGAACAUAAAAAGGAUGAGAGCGAUGGGGUCUUUCAAGGGCAGUGACCUCCUGUUGCUGCAUCACCCCUCCCCGCCCCCGGCCCCAGGUGUGGAAGCCAAAGAUUCCAGACCUCCCACAUGCCUGCG